rnacentral:lncRNA from 13 species
AGUUCAGUUUGGCUCUUUCUUAAGAUUGUUAUUUUGCAGCCUGGGCAACACAGAAAAACUCUUUACGAAAAAUACAAAAAGUUAGCCAGGUGCCCUCAUGUGUACCUGCAGUCUAGCUACUCUGGAGGGUGAGAUCACCUGAGCUCAGCAGGUUGAGGCUGCAGUGAACCCUGAUUUUGUGACUGCACUCCAGCCUGGGUGACAGAGUGAGACCCUGUCUCAAAGAAAAAAUUAAAAAAUGAUGGCUAUUUUGUCUUUCAGCUGUUGGAUUAUCUCACUGGAUUCUGUGGAUUCCUUUGAUUGUGUUUCAACUUUCUCCUGCAUGCUGAUGACUUUCCCUGCCAUCCAGCUUUUGAAAUCUAUGCCUGCCAUUUCAGCCACGUUAGAAUGGUUAAGAACCAUUGCUGGGGAGCUAGUGGACUCAUCUGGAGAAGCCCUUCCUGCUGGAGCAAGAGACCUAUAUGUUCAUAUGGCAGAAAAAAAGGUGAGGCUCUAAAAAGAGAGGAGAGAUUAUGAACAGAUCUUACUUUUGUUAGUCUGUAUGAGCCCUGGAGUCAAAAUAUAUGUCAAAAGAUGUUUAUAAGAUUUACUCAAUUAGAAUUUUCUUGAAAAUUCUAGUAAGUACAUUUCCAAUACUUUUCUUUUUUUGCAAAAUACCAUAGUUUCUGAGUUCAAAUACCAUUGUUCUCAGAAAAACAAUAGUACUCCCAAAUGUACUGAUUGUUUGAGGGUUGGUCUUUGUUACAUCACUGUUCCCAGAUAUGUUAUGACAAUUUUCCAACCAGCUCAGCAGCUACAAGAUUAAAUACUAAGGUAGGGACCAUUAUGGUUAGUGCAGGUAUAGUUUUAGAUAUAGAUAGAGAUGGAUGUUGUUCAUAUGUUGAUCAACUAUUUAUGGGAAUUUUGGCAUAAUGUUAUAUAUUCAGGCUCUACUUGGUCAAAUCUCAGUCUCGACUUUCUUACUGCAUAGCCUUGGGCAAGUUAUGAAACCUUUCUAUGUCUAGUUUUUCCCCAAGGUCUUUCAUUGUGUGUAAAUUAACUAAAUUUAUUUUCAUAAAGUAUCCAGAACAGAAUUAGUGCUUGUGCUUAUGAAGCUUAUAGUAAUAAAUAUGCUGUUAGACUUCA